GUGUCAGCAGCCGCGGUAAUACGUAGGCAGCGAGCGUUGUUCGGAGUUACUGGGCGUAAAGCGUGCGUAGGCGGUUUUCUAAGUUUGGUGUGAAAUCUCCCGGCUUAACCGGGAGGGUGCGCCGAAAACUGGAGGACUGGAGUGUCGGAGAGGUAAGCGGAAUUCCUGGUGUAGCGGUGAAAUGCGUAGAGAUCAGGAGGAACACCUGUGGUGUAGACAGCUUGCUGGACGAUAACUGACGCUGAGGCACGAAAGCGUGGGUAGCAAACAGGAUUAGAUACCCUGGUAGUCC
rnacentral:rRNA from 1 species